GAAACGUAAGGGUUUCAUAUUCAACAAGGAAGAGAAGAAAAACUCAAUUCACAUCACCAUCAAGUUUUUAAAGUAGAUUUAUAUGUCGCAGUUGAAUCAGAAAGAUGAUUGAGAGGAGUAGAAGAAGAAGGUUUUUAGGGCUUUUGUGUAUUUUAUGGCAGAUAAGUUAACAUCAACAAGACCUAAGGGCAGAAAAUUAGGAAGUAGUUAAUCAAAAUUGAAAUAAGAUCAGUUUUUAUAUAAAGU